CUACGGGUGGCAGCAGUGGGGAAUAUUGGACAAUGGGGGGAACCCUGAUCCAGCCAUGCCGCGUGUGUGAAGAAGGCCCUCGGGUUGUAAAGCACUUUCAGUGAGGAAGAACGCCUGGUGGUUAAUACCCAUCAGGAAAGACAUCACUCACAGAAGAAGCACCGGCUAACUCCGUGCCAGCAGCCGCGGUAAUACGGAGGGUGCGAGCGUUAAUCGGAAUUACUGGGCGUAAAGCGCGCGUAGGUGGCUUGAUAAGCCGGUUGUGAAAGCCCCGGGCUCAACCUGGGAACGGCAUCCGGAACUGUCAAGCUAGAGUGCAGGAGAGGAAGGUAGAAUUCCCGGUGUAGCGGUGAAAUGCGUAGAGAUCGGGAGGAAUACCAGUGGCGAAGGCGGCCUUCUGGACUGACACUGACACUGAGGUGCGAAAGCGUGGGUAGCAAACAGGAUUAGAUACCCUGGUAGUC
rnacentral:rRNA from 1 species